rnacentral:rRNA from 1 species
UCCUCCCUCUUUCUUCGUACUUAACACAUGCAAGUCGAACGGAAAGGCCCUGCUUUUGUGGGGUGCUCGAGUGGCGAACGGGUGAGUAACACGUGAGUAACCUGCCCUUGACUUUGGGAUAACUUCAGGAAACUGGGGCUAAUACCGGAUAGGAGCUCCUGCUGCAUGGUGGGGGUUGGAAAGUUUCGGCGGUUGGGGAUGGACUCGCGGCUUAUCAGCUUGUUGGUGGGGUAGUGGCCUACCAAGGCUUUGACGGGUAGCCGGCCUGAGAGGGUGACCGGCCACAUUGGGACUGAGAUACGGCCCAGACUCCUACGGGAGGCAGCAGUGGGGAAUAUUGCACAAUGGGCGGAAGCCUGAUGCAGCAACGCCGCGUGCGGGAUGACGGCCUUCGGGUUGUAAACCGCUUUCGCCUGUGACGAAGCGUGAGUGACGGUAAUGGGUAAAGAAGCACCGGCUAACUACGUG